UACCCUGUAGAUCCGAAUUUGUGUUAUUAGCAACAAAUCCGUAUCUGCGGUGUAUU
rnacentral:pre_miRNA from 1 species